rnacentral:rRNA from 1 species
CCUACGGGUGGCAGCAGUGGGGAAUAUUGCGCAAUGGGCGCAACCCUGACCCAGCAACGCCGCGUGAAGGAAGAAGGCUUUCGGUUUGUAAACUUCUUUUGGCAGGGAAGAUUAGAAGACGGUACCUGACGAAUACGCCACGUCUAACUACGGGCCAGCAGCCGCUGCAAUACGUAGGUGGCAAGCGGUGUCCGGAUUUACUUGGUGUAAAGGGCGUGUAGCCGGGUUGACAAGUCAGAUGUGAAAUCCUGCGGCUUAACCGCAGAACUGCAUUGGAAACUGUUGAUCUUGAGUACGGGUGAGGCAGGUGGAAUUCCUAGUGUAGCGGUGAAAUGCGUAGAUAUUAGGAGGAACACCAGUGGCGAAGGCGGUCUGCUGGACAGUAACUGACGGUGAGGCGCGAAAGCGUGGGGAGCAAACAGGAUUAGAUACCCUAGUAGUC